rnacentral:rRNA from 1 species
UACGUAGGGUGCAAGCGUUUAAUCGGAAUUACUGGGCGUAAAGCGUACGCAGGCGGCUUUGCAAGACAGGUGUGAAAUCCCCGGGCCUAACCUGGGAACUGCAUUUGUGACUGCAUGGCUAGAGUUUGUCAGAGGGGGGUGGAAUUCCACGUGUAGCAGUGAAAUGCGUAGAUAUGUGGAGGAACACCGAUGGCGAAGGCAGCCCCCUGGGAUGUGGACUGACGCUCAUGUACGAAAGCGUGGGGAGCAAACAGG